AAAUAGAACUUUGCAGAGAGAGUUAACAGGGCGUGAAACCGUUGAUUGGCAAACGAAUCGGAGCCACGAAGUCGUUUCGUCGUUUAGCCCCAGGCCAGGCUCAGCCGGCGUCGAGAGGCGCCGGUGUAGUCCUGGGCCGGGCCAGACUUUGUAAGCGUACACUGCAACCAGUUAGACGAUCAGCCGUGGGCACAGCGGGCGCCGUUGGCCAGUAGUAGUGCGGUUGCGCUUCGGCGCUGCUCGUGUUGCUGGGCCAGCGUGAGUGAACUACGGCUGAAUACUGACUGGCGAAAUGAAAAUCGCCCCCCUGCGGGCGUUAGAGACAACGCGGCCAGCCGGAUGCCGGUCCACGCGUGCGACUGUCAGGUCUAAGCUUGGCGCUCUCGAAUUCAGACUUGCCUGCUACCAGCGGGGCAACCCACUGGUGCUGGUACAGCUUCUGUCUAAUCGGGCGUCGACUUGGCCUGGCAUGGAUCGGGCGCGCUACGGUGGGGCCGGCAUGCGAGUUGGCUCGCCAUGUUGAUUGGCAGUGAGUAGGUCGGCUUUCCGAACGACCCGUCUUGAAACACGGACCAAGGAGUCUAAUUAGGCAUCGAGUCGAUCGGUCUUGCAUAGGCCAGACUGGUGUUCGAACGCCGAGAAGGCGCAGAGAAUCGUGUGAUCGGGCCGGCAACAACAGCCGCCGCGCGCAACAUGUGCCUGUUCGUAUGGCAAUGUGCAACAUUGCCGGGCGGAGCAGAGAGAUGCCUGAUUGGGACCCGAAAGAUGGUGAUGCUUGGGCAAAUUGAAGCCAGAGGAAACUCUGGUGGAGGAUUUAGUCUGACGUGCAAAUCGAUCGUCAGACCUGAGUAUAGGGGCGAAAGACUAAUCGAACCAUC
rnacentral:rRNA from 1 species